UACGUAGGGUGCGAGCGUUAAUCGGAAUUACUGGGCGUAAAGCGUGCGCAGGCGGUUUUGUAAACCAGAUGUGAAAGCCCCGGGCUUAACCUGGGAAUGGCAUUUGGGACUGCAAGGCUUGAGUGCGGCAGAGGAGACUGGAAUUCCUGGUGUAGCAGUGAAAUGCGUAGAGAUCGGGAGGAACAUCAGUUGCGAAGGCGGCCACCUGGACCAGCACUGGACCACUGAGGCACGAAAGCGUGGGGAGCAACAGG
rnacentral:rRNA from 1 species